rnacentral:lncRNA from 1 species
CCAUCUAUCCAUACCUAUACAUUAUUUUUUUUAAAUUUACCAUGUGACAACGUUUUCUAUGUUGCUGCGCGUAGGCUCUAUUCCGAACCGACUCUAGUUUUCGACAUAUUUAUCUCUUUCUUUGUUUGAACCUAACGGAAUUUGUCUCUUUCUUUGCUUGAACCGAGUUUCACUUAUUAUUGAAUGUGGGCUUUUCCGAACCGACUCAAAUUUUUUAUAUAUAUUUUUUUUCUUUACUUUAAGCAAACCGGAUUUUUCUCUUUUUUUUUUUUAUUGAAUCGAACCGAAUCACACCUCUACAUUGGGCUGAACUGUUCCUCUGCCGCUUCCUUCGAUUGUUAUCGUUCUUCAUCGGCAAAAUAAAUCUCACUCCUUAUCGUCACUUCUUCUAUCGCCGUUUUCUCUUAUUUUGUCUUCGCUUUUUAUUUCUUUUUUAAUUAUCUAUCCGUCGUAUCGUACAAAUUACUAUACUAGUACUCCGUG